rnacentral:rRNA from 1 species
GACGAACGCUGGCGGCGUGCCUAAUACAUGCAAGUCGAACGCAGUGGCGGACGGGUGAGUAACACGUGGGUAACUACCUAUUAGAGGGGGAUAACUAUUGGAAACGAUAGCUAAUACCGCAUACUAGUAGAUGGACCUGCGUUGUAUUAGCUAGUAGGUAGGGUAAUGGCCUACCCAGGCAACGAUACAUAGCCGAGCUGGAGAGGUGAUCGGCCACACUUGGACUGAGACACGGCCCCGACUCCUACGGGAGGCAGCAGUAGGGAAUUUUCGGAAAUGGGGGGAACCCUGACCGAGCAACGCCGCGGGAGUGAAGAAGGUUUUCGGAUCGUAAAGCUCUGUUGUUAAGGAAGCGGUACUUAACCAGAAAGGGACGGCUAACUACGUGCCAGCAGCCGCGGUAAUAC